UCUUUCUUCGGAAAGGAGAGAGUGGCGGACGGGUGCGUAACGCGUAUGCAACCUACCUUUUACAGGGGGAUAGCCCGGGGAAACCCGGAUUAAUACCCCAUAACAUAAUGUUGUCGCAUGGCAUUAUUAUUAAAGAUUUAUCGGUAAAAGAUGGGCAUGCGUCUGAUUAGUUAGUUGGUGGUGUAACGGACCACCAAGACGAUGAUCAGUAGGGGGUCUGAGAGGAUGAUCCCCCACACUGGCACUGAGACACGGCCCAGACUCCUACGGGAGGCAGCAGUGGGGAAUAUUGGACAAUGGGCGAAAGCCUGAUCCAGCCAUGCCGCGUGGGUGAAGAAGGCCUUAGGGUUGUAAACCCCUUUCAGCGGGGAAGAUAAUGACGGUACCCGCAGAAGAAGCCCCGGCUAACUCCGUGCCAGCAGCCGCGGUAAUACGGAGGGGGCUAGCGUUGUUCGGAAUUACUGGGCGUAAAGCGCGCGUAGGCGGAUCUGCAAGUCAGGGGUGAAAUCCCGAGGCUCAACCUCGGAACUGCCUUUGAUACUGCGGAUCUCGAGUCCGAGAGAGGUGAGUGGAAUUCCUAGUGUAGAGGUGAAAUUCGUAGAUAUUAGGAAGAACACCAGUGGCGAAGGCGGCUCACUGGCUCGGUACUGACGCUGAGGCGCGAAAGCGUGGGGAGCAAACAGGAUUAGAUACCCUGGUAGUCCACGCCGUAAACUAUGGGUGCUAGCCGUCGGAGAGCAUGCUC
rnacentral:rRNA from 1 species